UCUUCAGGUCCCUGUGCGGGCGCCACUUGCCGGGGACCAGCCCCAGCUGAACAGGAUUCACC
ensembl:miRNA